CCCACCCCCACCUCCUGCACCGAUCGCCUUGCCUGCACCGGUUCCAGCAGUCGAGUAUGGACCUCCCGUCCAGCAGUACCCUGCUGCAAUCCCAGAACCAGCCUACGCCCCUCCUCCGCCACCUCCGCCACCACCACCACCGCCGCCCCCACCGCCACCUCCGCCAGCCCCCGCCCCCGAGUACGGUCCCCCCGUGAGAGUGCCGUUCGCCGAGUACGGGCCGCCUCCCUCAUCCGCCCCUCUGAUUCCUCCUCCCCAACUAUCAAAUGACUUCGAAUACGCACCAGAGCCCAGGACCCUCCUAUUCUAAUUAAGGAUGGUUUCACACUUGCGGCCGACGAUCACUCCAGGAGACUUGGGGCGCACCCUUCCUUCCAGUGAGAAUAGAAUUUUCGAGUACGACUAUACUCCAUGAUUGAACUUGAAAUCUUGGAGCAUAGAUAAAUAUUGUAAACGAUCAGAACGAUAUCCCUAUUGCUCCGUCGUUUCUCUUUUGACGUCAUCCUAUCUGUUCAUCCAUAAUUAUAAUUAUUAUUUAUUGUAAUGUUAGUAUUAUGGCGCUUCAGACUCAGACGUCUGCAAACAAAUCCUGAUCAUGUGUAAUUAUUUUGUAUAAAGAAUUAAAUAAAUCUUGUCAUUAAUUGUACAAUAUGGAAUCAGUGCGCUCUAUUAAUUAACACGUCAAUUUCUC